rnacentral:rRNA from 1 species
CGGAUUGUAGUCUGCAACUCGACUACAUGAAGCUGGAAUCGCUAGUAAUCGCGAAUCAGAAUGUCGCGGUGAAUACGUUCCCGGGUCUUGUACACACCGCCCGUCACACCAUGGGAGUCGGAUAUGCCCGAAGUCAGUGACCCAACCAUAUGGAGGGAGCUGCCGAAGGUGGAGCCGAUAACUGGGGUGAAGUCGUAACAAGGUACC